CUACGGGGCGCAGCAGUGAGGAAUAUUGGUCAAUGGUCGCAAGACUGAACCAGCCAUGCCGCGUGCAGGAAGACGGUCCUAUGGAUUGUAAACUGCUUUUAUACAGGAAGAAACCCUCCCACGUGUGGGAGCUUGACGGUACUGUAGGAAUAAGGAUCGGCUAACUCCGUGCCAGCAGCCGCGGUAAUACGGAGGAUCCAAGCGUUAUCCGGAAUCAUUGGGUUUAAAGGGUCCGUAGGCGGCCUUAUAAGUCAGUGGUGAAAGCCCAUCGCUCAACGAUGGAACUGCCAUUGAUACUGUAAGGCUUGAAUUUUUGUGAAGUAACUAGAAUAUGUAGUGUAGCGGUGAAAUGCUUAGAUAUUACAUGGAAUACCAAUUGCGAAGGCAGGUUACUAACAAACGAUUGACGCUGAUGGACGAGAGCGUGGGGAGCGAACAGGAUUAGAUACCCGCGUAGUC
rnacentral:rRNA from 1 species